rnacentral:rRNA from 1 species
GACGAACGCUGGCGGCGUGCUUAACACAUGCAAGUCGAACGAAGUGGCGAACGGGUGAGUAACGCGUAAUCAACCUGCCCUUCAGAGGGGGACAACAGUUGGAAACGACUGCUAAUACCGCAUACUGAAGGAGGGGAUUGCGUCUGGUUAGCUAGUUGGAGGGGUAACGGCCCACCAAGGCGAUGAUCCGUAGCCAGUUGUGGGGGAUGAACGGCCACAUUGGGAAGGGGUCACGGCCCAGACUCCUACGGGGAGCAGCAGUGGGGGAUCUUCCGCAAUGGACGAAAGUCUGACGGAGCAACUGCGCGGGAGAGAUGACGGCCUUCGGGUUGUAAAGCUCUUUUAAGCGGGACGCGGUACCGGAAUAGAAAGCCACGGCUAACUACGUGCCAGCAGCCGCGGUAAUUC